ACGUGAUUCAGGAAGAUGGCGACGAAACCAAAUUUGUCGCCGUUACGAGACUAAAACGAGAUACUAAUUACGCCAGUGGAGCACAGAACGUAAUUGGAAUAUGUUUUUUUUCUCAACUGUAAAAUAUUUCGUACUUCAACGCGGUUGCAAAUUAUGUGUACGCCAAGCGCCAGCUGCUCUGACAGAACUGCACUUGGCGUUAGCCGAAGAGGGAGAAAUCAAGUCACACAACCGGUGCGUUUCAUCAUGAUACUGAAGGAGCAGUUGUUGAUGCAGCAGCAGCAAACGCCCGCCAGGCAACGAACGGCAAGGAAGAGAAACGGUUGAGGGAGAACGGCGGGCAACAGGCCGCACGCAGCCUGCACGUACACGCUGGACAGCAGCACCAGACACUUCCCGUACCUGCGCACGCAAAGGUAUAGUGUGCAAGUACUUUUGCCACUUCUGGUAAAAAAUGUACCUGUCAGACAGAGCUCCGCCCACCAGCGAUCCAAGCAGUAGACCCACCAUGUAGACCGUUUGGCCGUAGGUCAACCAUGAAGACCAGCCACACACUGACUGAUGCACACAAGAAACAAACGGUGGACUUUUUUUUUUUUUUUUUUUUUUGCAACAGUGGAUUAUACUGAUGAAUUAGUGUGCAGAUGCUUAAAUGUGGCGCAUGCAGCGGACACACCCAAACACCACCUCAUCCUUUGACAUGAUGGAACUAAUUCAGAUCAAGUGUUCUGGACCACAUAGAUUUGAUUUUUCCCUGACUUUUGUUUUAUAAAUUCAGUCUCUGUCUGUCUGUCUGUCUCUCUCUUUGUAUUUGUCAGGUCCAAGGUAAAGAAGGUCACUAAGGUUUGUGGUAUAAAACAAAGUCCAAUUCCCAACCGUCCUUCUUCUAUACAGCCAUAGCGGCGAGUAUAAUCCUGAGAAAAAGGCAACAACAAAAAGCACAUGAAGGAAAUGAAUUGGCAAAGAUGAAAAUGAAGGACAUUUAUGCUGUCAUUUUAAUUUCAUUAACAUAACAUUUACGGGAGUGACAGUUCUCUUUUUUUUACGCACUCUUGUUUUUAUUUUAUGACUCAUUAUUAUUUUUCCCCCUAAUUUUUAGUUUUAGUUCUUUCAUUACUUUUCACAAACUACAAGAACCCCGUUCUGGACCCGACUGAUCCCACUUUUUCAAGCUCAGAGGGAUUCGACUCAAAACUCGGGUUUCGAGUAGACUGAAGCGCGUAUACCCCUUGGUACACGCCACCGAGGUUGGGAAUCAUUGCUCUAAAAUAUGAAAUGCGACAGUUCAUUUGAUGUACUUUCGUUGUUACUUGUUCCUUCACAAUCCAAUCCAAAGAAAUCAAUGGCUGAACAUGUGGAGCACAAAGCACAACAAUCGUGUUGUUCUGCCUUAUCGAGUGUUCAAAGGAGAGGGGGGCGGGUGUAUAAGAGUGUGGCCUGGGUUAUUUGUUAACUCUAAAUGGGUUUUAUUGCUGAUGGGCCAUAGGGUCCUUUGCUCUAUUCUCAAUGACCGCACGCUGAAACACUUAAAGGCACUACUUUGUUCGACUCUUCGAGAUGUGCGUUCUUUUGUAAUGUCACGUGACCAGUUUGCGUUGAACUGGUGCUGUUGUUGGGACGCUCCUGACGUCGUUGCGGCAGAACCACACGGGCGAAAGAAAUUUGAGGGUUUGGCUCCCUCAAACCCUGAAUAAAGCCUGUCUGGGGACAUUUUUACUGUAAUAAAGGUAUCUGUCGUAAAAUUGAACUCUUGUGUGAACCCAAAUCAUAAGAUGAAAAAAAUGGGGGUGGGGGCACAAAACAAUUCUCUUCCUCAACCCCUUCAUGUGCUCUUUGAUGCCGGAUCAGGACUAAUCUGUCCCUCGCGUCUUCGCCGUGCUACUUUUUCCAAGAGUACUUGUUGGUACUCUACCAAGUGACUCUACCAACAUACUUAUAUCUUACACCACUACGGACGGAACUUAUAAUGCAAGCAAAUAAAAUAAAAUACUUCAAAACAUAAUCACAACUUUCACUCGUUUGUUUUAAAUACUUAAAGUACAUCUAGUGUGAGAAACUUUAAGAUUUGUACUCCGAUUAUUGUUAUUAUGAAACGUAUUCACUCACGUCUCGGUCGCCGCUUUUAGUCACCCAAUCAGAUUCGUCUCCCAAAAGAUCCUCGACUUCUGAUUGGUUUCGCGGGAGCAUACUUCCGCGUUUGGUUCCCGAUUGGCUAGUGACGUUGCCGGCAUGACACUUCGCGUCCACCACCACGUCCAAGAAAAUGUCGAGGAAGAAGAGGAACGAGUUGAAGAAGAAGGCGAGCGACACACGCCAGAAAACGGAUAGCUGAAGCGGAGACAUGGCGGUCUUCCCUUCUGGAACUAUUUUUAUUCCCGAGGUGUGGACUUAACUUAAAUAGCCGGGCGCCAUGUUGACGGCCCGAGCCAAAGGUCCGCUAUAUGGACUUCGAACUCUUGUGACUUGCAAUGUGUUUUUUUUCUUGUUGUUGAAAAUUCAACUUGAGCUCGUCUUGACACUCCCCCCCUCUUCGCCUUAUUCAGACAGCGUGAAGGAGGGUCAGGAAAGGUGUAACCAUGCAAAGGAUUCAAACAAAAUGGUACAAGAAAGCCUGCCAGUAAAGAAAAUCUGAUCAGU